AUGACGUCACCGGCGGCGGCAGGCCCCGCCCCGGCCCCGGGCGGCAGGCCGCAUGACGUCACCGAGGCCCCACCCCUCCGGAGCGAGUUCGGUCCUGGCGUUCAUUUCAUUCCUGUCCUCAUUCCGAACAUUCUUAGCAUCGCUCGCGCCGUGCCGCGCCGCCCGAGCCGAGCCGAGCCUCUGCAGCCGCCGCCGCGGCCCCGCCGCCCGCCGCGGGCGCCCAUCAAGCACUUUGCAGACUCGCUUCCACCCUGCGGGCCAGUCCGCGCGGCGGGGCCCGGGCUCGGGGCGGCCGCGUCCGGGGACAGGCCAUGCAGUGAAUCCCCCCCACCCCGUCCACCUUUGCCCGGAGCCGCGGGCAGGAGCCCAGUUCGUCCAGCCGGCCCCGGGGCAGGAGCGGUGCUAGGCAGGGGUGGGGUGGCCCAGCCCGGGGAUCGGGAAUCGGGGAGGGAGCCGGGCUCCGAGCUGAAGGCGGGGGAAGCGGCGCCGAAGUUUGCCUCGGACUCGCCAGGCGCUGCGGCGGCUCCCUUCGCCGAGGUUUAUUUUCUUGAAAAGGCUCCAGGCUUCGGCUUGGAAAAUCCAACCGCCAAAAUUGAGCCCAGCAGCUGGAGCGGCAGUGAGAGCCCUGCCGAAAACAUGGAAAGGAUGAGUGACUCUGCAGAUAAGCCUAUUGACAAUGAUGCAGAAGGGGUCUGGAGCCCCGACAUUGAGCAGAGCUUUCAGGAAGCCUUGGCUAUCUAUCCACCAUGCGGGAGGAGGAAAAUCAUCUUAUCAGACGAAGGCAAGAUGUAUGGUAGGAAUGAAUUGAUAGCCAGAUACAUCAAACUCAGGACAGGGAAGACGAGGACCAGAAAACAGGUGUCUAGUCAUAUACAGGUCUUAGCAAGAAAGAAAGUUCGAGAAAUUCAAGCCGCCAUUAAGGUGUCUAGUCACAUUCAGGUUCUUGCCAGAAGGAAAUCUCGUGAUUUUCAUUCCAAGCUAAAGGUAACAAGCAUGGAUCAGACUGCAAAGGAUAAGGCCCUGCAGCACAUGGCCGCCAUGUCGUCAGCCCAGAUCGUCUCGGCCACUGCCAUUCACAACAAGCUGGGGCUGCCCGGGAUCCCACGCCCCACCUUCCCGGGGGCGCCGGGGUUCUGGCCAGGAAUGAUACAAACAGGGCAGCCUGGAUCUUCACAAGACGUCAAGCCCUUCGUGCAGCAGGCCUACCCCAUCCAGCCAGCAGUCACGGCCCCCAUUCCAGGGUUUGAACCUGCGUCAGCCCCAGCUCCCUCGGUCCCAGCCUGGCAGGGCCGCUCCAUUGGCACAACCAAACUUCGCCUGGUGGAAUUCUCAGCUUUCCUUGAACAGCAGCGAGACCCAGACUCGUACAACAAACACCUCUUCGUGCACAUCGGGCACGCCAACCAUUCUUACAGUGACCCAUUGCUCGAAUCAGUGGACAUUCGUCAGAUUUAUGACAAAUUUCCUGAAAAGAAAGGUGGCUUAAAGGAACUGUUUGGAAAGGGCCCUCAAAAUGCCUUCUUCCUCGUAAAAUUCUGGGCUGAUUUAAACUGCAAUAUUCAAGACGAUGCCGGGGCUUUUUAUGGCGUAACCAGUCAGUAUGAGAGUUCUGAAAAUAUGACAGUCACCUGCUCCACCAAAGUUUGCUCCUUUGGGAAGCAAGUAGUAGAAAAAGUAGAGACGGAAUACGCAAGGUUUGAGAAUGGCCGAUUUGUCUACCGAAUAAACCGCUCCCCAAUGUGUGAAUAUAUGAUCAACUUCAUCCACAAGCUCAAACACUUACCAGAGAAAUAUAUGAUGAACAGUGUUUUGGAAAACUUCACAAUUUUAUUGGUAACUGUUUUGUCUCUUUCCUGUUUUGUCAGACUCAGCCAUGAAGCUGCCAGGGAAGAGGGGCCUGGGUGGGUCUGGGUCCCAGGUGGUCAGUCAGCAGCUGAAUUCAUGCAUCCGUAA
ensembl:lncRNA